GCGGACGGGUGAGUAACGCGUGGGUAACCUGCCUUAUACUGGGGGAUAACAGCCAGAAAUGACUGCUAAUACCGCAUAAGCGCACAGGACCGCAUGGUUCGGUGUGAAAAACUCCGGUGGUAUAAGAUGGACCCGCGUUGGAUUAGCUAGUUGGCAGGGCAGCGGCCUACCAAGGCGACGAUCCAUAGCCGGCCUGAGAGGGUGAACGGCCACAUUGGGACUGAGACACGGCCCAGACUCCUACGGGAGGCAGCAUUGGGGAAUAUUGCGCAAUGGGGGAAACCCUGAUGCAGCGACGCCGCGUGAAGGAAGAAGUAUCUCGGUAUGUAAACUUCUAUCAGCAGGGAAGAUAAUGACGGUACCUGACUAAGAAGCCCCGGCUAACUACGUGCCAGCAGCCGCGGUAAUACGUAGGGGGCAAGCGUUAUCCGGAUUUACUGGG
rnacentral:rRNA from 1 species